rnacentral:lncRNA from 1 species
UUUUUUUUAAUCUUUUAUGUUUUGUUUCUAUUUUCUUUUGGUCGCUAUCCUAUUCAUUUGUGUUUUUAAUUUUUGUAUCCAUUUAAAGUUUUGUUCCCUUGUUUCCUUACUGUUCGUUUGUGUUUGGUGUUGGGGUUGUCACCAUUAUUUUGUUAGGUAAUUUUGGGAUUUUAGUAAGUUUGGGUUUGGGUGUCUCGUUAAACCUUAAUGUGGUAUCGGGUUUUUGUAGUGGUUAUAAUUAUUUCCUUUAGGUAUUCAUGGUUUGGUGGUUCUGUUAUUGUUCAUUCUUGUGACAAAAGUCUGACCAUUCUCAAAUCAUUG